AGAGAGCUGGAGUUUGUUGGUUGUGCUGUGAGGAGCUGGUCAUGAAAAAUCACCAAGAAGUUUUGUGAGCUCCAAUGUCCCUUUUGGUGCCAGUGGAUGAACUCCAGGUGCUCCUUUGGUACUCUCAAGCAGGGACUGUGGUUUCCUGUUAUGCAGUUUAACUGCUGGGUCAACACCUACUCUGAGCUGUGGUGAUAGAAAGCUUCAGUAGAUCUUGCAGACCAAGAGAAGGAAAAGAAGCCACUCCAGUCAGAACCUCUGUAGCUUUUCUAGAAGGAGCCCAACUGGAAGGUGCUGUUUGCAGCUGAUGUCAAAGUGGCACAGACUGUACCAGUGCCACCUCUUCAGAUGCUCAGCCCUGAGCAACUUUCUGUGUUGGGACUACUGAAGCUGCACACUGGAAUAUGGGCCUCACAUAAGUGGGAAUGAGGCAGGGUGAGUGAUUUCUGCUCCAUCUGGAAUGGUAGUAGAAGGGUUUGGUAGACUUUGUUGGACUAUCUAUGUCCUAGGCUGGCGCAAGCCUUUCAACAUUUAUCUCAGAAAUGAACUUUCUACCUAGAAAGUGAGCAGAAAAACAGCAACACUUUCAAAUCACUGGUAUAUGUGCCUCACCUCUGGACUGGUAGGCAGAUCACAGUGGAAGAAUGUUUAGCCCUGAAGCUACUGGAAGAAAUUCCUUCUCUUGUCACAGCUUGUUCAUCAAGCUCAAAACGAUGCUUUUUUAAGGAUAACUUUAAUGACACAGAUUGUAUUUUUCAGCCUGCAGUGAGUGCAGUGGUGCACAGCGGUGUGCCCCAGGUUUAUUGGGGGGCAGCAGGUGUGAGUCCUUCCCCAGGCCCCUGCCCACCCCAGAACCCAGCGCUGUCAGUCCCAGCCCUGCCAGCCCCGGGCACCAGCGCUGCCUGCUGACCCUCCGGGCAGGCCACGCUUCUGAUGUCAGCAUUUUAAAUACUGAAACGAAACUAACACCGCACCCACGCCGUCUCCUGCCCACUGUGUGUGGGAAAUGCCCUGUGGGACACCUUUUUGCUGUCGCCUCUGGCCCAAGUGUUCCUGCUGUCGGGGCUACAGCCGCCAGGCUAUGGAGAAGAUGCCUGCCCCAUCCCUGGAGGUGUCCAAGGCCAGGCUGGAUGGGGCUCUGAGCAGCCUGGACUAGGGAAGGUGUCCCUGCCCGCGGCAGGGGUUUGGAACUGGAUGAUCUUUAAGGUCUCUUCCAACCCAGGCCACUGUCCGGCUCUAAGCGCCGCUCCCGGCCCCGCCGGCGAUGCUCCCUUAC